rnacentral:lncRNA from 1 species
GUUCUGAAAAAAGUAUGUUACCAUGGGGACCAAACGCCCCAGUCUGACUCCCUUUGACACAUCUGAUCCAUCCAAUCAAAGCGCUUCCUACUUGAACCCUCAGCCAAUCAGCCAGAUCUGCCGUGAAACAAGUCCCAGACCUGGAACAGUGGCCCGGACAGACAGAGAGAGGGAGAGGAUCCAAGAGGAGGAAUGGAGGAGAGAAAGAGAAAUGGAGAGAUUUAAGGACAAGACAAGAAAUAGAAGAAAAGAGAUGGAACCCGGACCAAGAGAGAGGAACAGAGAGAAGGACUGUUCCCCCAUAUCCAGAGGGAGGGAGGAGGAAAGGGAAUGGAGAGAGAGAGAAAGGGGGGGAGCGGGAGAGAAACGUGCCAAUGGAAGACCUACUUCAAAUCUGGAGAUCAGGAACCACAGAGACAGAGAAAAGGAGAGAAAGAAGGGAGACACGUUUCCUACAAUUGUAAAACAUAGCAAAGAGAGAGACAGAAGAAUACGUGCAUUUGUGGAGGAAGAUGUGGGGAAAGAAGGAAUGAGACAAUUGGAGAGACCGAAGGGAACAGAGAUGGACGACUGGGAGAGAGAACGAGAAACAGCAGCAAAGAUACAGCGGUAUCGAGAUGCAGAGAGGGACUUCCAAAGGCAGAGGGAGAGGGAGAAGGAGAGAAUCAGGGCACAGGAGGACGGAGAGAGAAAUGGAGGAAAGCCCAUGGAGGAUAAGACUGUGAGACGGAGGGAGAGAGCGAGGGAAGCGGAGCCAGAUUUCAGAGAGAGGAGAAGAGAGAGGGACUCAAAGGCUAAUGACCUACGGAGCAAAAGAGAGAGGUAUAUGGAUGGAGAGAGAGAGAGGUCAAAACUCUGGCAGGGAGAAAGAGAAGUUAGAGGAAGAGAGGGAGAUUCACAGAACUAUUCCGAUAGAGAGGGCAGGGAUGGAAGGAGGGAAGGAAAUACAGAGGGACAGAGGGACACCAGGAGUGAGGGAGACAGUGAUGGAGAGAAGAGGAAAGAGAGAGUGAGAGAUGACAACAGAAGAGAACUGAAACAUCUGCACAGUAAAAGUGAGGGGGACACUGAGGGGAACGCAGCAUGGGAUAGAGUGAGGGAGAAAGAGAGACAGAAAUGGAGAGGGGGGGAGAUGUACAGAGAGAGGGAUGGAAGUAAAGAUGCUUAUAGACAGAGAGUGAGGGACGGGGGCAGGGACAUUGAUGGAGAGAGGGACAUGGACAGAUACAGAGAGAGGGACCGGAGAAAAGUGAGGGAAGUGGAGAGAGAGAGGGAUGGGGUGAGAGAAGGGGGCAGGCGAGAGAACGGACCAAGGGAAAGGAGGGAUCCGGAGAAAGAUAGGGAGAAAACACAGCCCAGUGUAACAGGAGAGAGAGGGAAGCGGAUGGAUGGAGAGAGAUUCAGAGAGAGGGAGAGAUAUUCCAAGGGGAAGGAUGAAGAGAGGAGGUGCAGGGAGAAGAGGGACAGAGAGACAGAUCCCAAAAGGGAGGGAGAAGCAGAUGGAGCUAGCCGAUCGCCGAGUGAGACAGCCCCAAGGGUGCCACCACGAGUCCAGAGCAGUGGAGAAUGGAGCAGUGACAUAGAGAGGGAAAGAAAAUGGAGAAGAGAAAGUCAUGAAGAAAAGGAGUCAGAGGGAGAUGUGGACAGGGGGCAGAGAGAGUGUAGUGAAAGAGAGAGACCAGAUAGAGUGAGGGGGAGAGAAGAAGGAAAGGAAGAGACGAUACCAAAGCGCCCUGAGCAGAGGAAGAUGUGGUUAGAACCACAGAAGGUCAGAUAUAACAAAGACUCCUCUUUAGAGGAUGAGGUUAUAGAGCGAGAAAGAGAGAGGCACACUAACAGAUGGAGAGAGAGAAGUGAAGAAGAGGACAGAUCCGUGGAACAAAGAAAGUCUAUAGAUGAAGAGAGAGAAGCUGAGAGGGAGGGAGGGAGGGAGAGGUAUUUGGAGAGAGGGUUAAAUGUAGAUGAAGACGAUGAGACAGAAGCCUGGAGGAGUUAUAGCAGAGGAAAGGAACACCAGACUUACAGUGAUGGAGAGAGAGAGGAACGCUGGCAGAGGGACAGUGAGAUGGAGAGAGAGAAUGUGACAGAUAACACAGAGGGUGACAGAGAGGAAGAAGGAAGAAGUGAUAGAUAUGCAGAGUGGGAAGGAGGGAGGGAUAGAAUCCCUUCCUCUGAGGACGGCUUUAUCACUGUGUCCAGUGGUGGAGAAGAGGAAUUUGAGGACUGCAAGGAAUUCGUGGAAGUUGGGUUCACUAAUCAUGUUACCAGGCAACCUGUUAGCUUUCAGGGGAGCGAGGGAGAGAUGGAGAGAGGUGGAGGGAGAAGACAUGAAAGAGAGAGAGAAAGAACAGAAGAGCGGACAGAGCAAAAAGAUGAUGCAUUGGAGGGAGAGGUGAAUGAUGGAAAGGGGAAGAAGCAACCCACCUAUGUAUUCUGUGUGAUUGGACAAACACUGCCCAGGUCAAAACCCAAUCAGACAGCAGUCCUGGGUAACAUGGAAUCAGAGCGGACCAAUCAAAAUCCUGGAUAUGGUCAUAGGGACAGUGGUGACAUCACACACCUCCCUCAUGAGAACCCUUCCAGAGAUGGAGACCAAGGGGCAGAGGAUGAGAGAAAAAUAGUGAGGGAUGAGAUCCACGUGCCAAAGGAGGAGAGAACAGACACAGAAGAGAGCUCCAUAGUGGACGUCAGUCACACUACCCUAGAACGAGAGACCGGAGAACGACUGAAGGUCAUGGAGGAGAACCCAUACGCUGAGAUAGAGCGAAGGAGGAACUCUGAGACCGAAAAACUCCUCAAAGAGUGGAGAGAAAGACAUGAAGAGUACACAGAAACAAGAGAGAGGGACCCAACAGACAGGAGGAGGACAGAACCAGAGAUAGGUCCAUCUUCACAUCCCAGUGGAGAGUACCACCACCAUGGGAUCCCUGUAGUUGACCAAGCCACCUCUGACCAGAAUAACCCUGUAGUGAUGAGCCCAGAGGAAGCUGUGGCCAUCCAAAUCUGUAUAAGGGGAGCCUGGAGCACAGAAGAGGAGGCCAAGCGCCACUCCCAGGCCUCACACAUGAAGUGGGCCAAGAACGUAUUGAGCGAGAUCCUUGGCAGCUCAGAGGAACCAGCCCUCGGCAACCCCCAGCCAGAGUCACAGGGAGGUCAAGAGGUCAGCCAGACUACGAGAGGGACCGAGAGGGUAGAAGAGGAGCUAGAGGAAGAAAAGGAUGAGACGCUAGAGGGGGGAGGAGCCUCAACCGUCUACGCCACGGUUCAGAAGAGGACGAAGCGUGGGAGGAAGUCGGUAGAGGAGAGGCUGGCUGAACGGGAGGCAGAGCCAGGGAAGGUGGAGGAUGAGAGAGAUGAUGAGGAGGUGAGCGUCAACUGGGGAGACGUGGACAUGAGGAAUGUCACGGAUACCAUCAGAAUGGAUAGGAGGAACUCCAAAUUUUACAGUGAGUAUCUCUGCUCUGCCUCUACUGCACUACUUCUACUGCUCUGCCUCUACUGCUCUACCUCUACUGCUCUACCUCUACUGCGCUACGUCUACUGCUCUGCCUCUACUGCUCUACCUCUACUGCGCUAUGUCUAUUGCUCUACCUCUACUGCUAUAUCUCUACUGCUCUACUUCUAUUGCUCUACUUCUACUGCUCUAGCUCUACUGCUCUAG